ACACACACAUGUACGGGGCCCGGGGCAGUUUCACUCACUCGCGUUGGGACCUCCGAGACGCAAACAUACACGCGCCCACGCUCUCUCUCCCGCCGGUAAAGGAGAAACGGGGAGAGAAAGAGAAUACUGGACAGAACAAGGACAGCAGGAGAUUUGAGCGGGAAAGAGAAGUUGGUAAAGUGAGAGAGAAAGAGACGUGAAAAAAAAAAAAAAGGUGAAAGACGCAGAGAAAAGUGUUAAAGGAAGGUAGAAACAAAGAGAAAGUGACGGAUAUCAAGAAAGUGAAACAAAAUAAAGAAAAGAAAAGAAGGAAAGGUACUAGUGGAGAAGAAAAUGAGUGAAUAAUCGAAAGAAAGAAAAGACAGAGAAAAAGGAAAAAAAAAAGUAGCAACUGUGGAGAAAACACAGGCAGACAGACAGACAGGCAGAGAGAGAGAGAGAGAGAGAGAGAGAGAGAGAGAGAGAGAGAGAGAGAGAGAGAGAGAGAGAGAGAGAGAGAGAGAGAGAGAUAGAAUACGAGUAACAUCAAGUGCUUGAGUUAAACACUUUGGAUAAAGGUCAAGAAGAGGUGUGUGUGUGUGUGUGUGUGUGUGUGUGUGUGUGUGUGUAAGUCAAGCUGGCCACGCACAGGAGAUACAACACCUUCACCACUGCUCAGCCGCACACAGCGGCGGCGAGCAGUGGUGAUGGUGGUGACGGUAGAAGGGAGCGCGUAGACCUCAAUGUUAUGAAGCGGAACAUGACCAUUGCAAAGGGCUUCCUGGAUAUUAGUCUGCUGUCGGCUAACGCAAACCAGCUCAGAAGCGUGAUUUACUACGGAGACAGAGAAAGUACAGUCUUCCAUCUCAUUCUGGCUGGCAUUAUUCUCAGCCUUGUACUGCAGAAGAGAACCGGUGGCGCCUGUGUGCAGUGCCCAAGUGCGCCUGAACACUGCUUGAUGGACUGUCAAUGUGUCAGUGAGCAGAUACAGCAGUACUCCGCACCCUCAUCCACCCUGAAUGACCUCGCCAAGCGCUUCACCGCAACAUUUCCCCAAGUGUUGCGUGCACAUCAUCAGUGUCAUAAUGCACGCCAAUAUGAUCCGCAACGAGCACACCGCCACUCUCUUCUGCCGCGUCACCAUUAACAAUGUCACUACGUCUCCCUGCCUGUCACCACUCACUUAUCAGCACUCACUAUUACGUACCGUGACAAUACUGUCAUCCCGGAACAAAUCACUCAUUCACAAACAUGUAACACUUCCUCAAUAAAAGUACUCUCUCUCUCUCUCUCUCUCUCUCUCUCUCUCUCUCUCUCUCUCUCUCUCUCUCUCUCUCUCAUAAAAACUGUGAUAUGCAUAUUGUAACGACCAGACAACAGUGUAAUUAAUGGAGUGGUACUUGGUUACUUGCUGGAUGUGUUGCCGGUGUAUUAUAUUAUUACUAUUCAUUUUACAAUAUAAUAUUAUGUAUAGGAGAAUUUGUACCUAUUUAUAAAGUAGUAUUAAUAUUACUCCAAUUGGAAGCUUUCUUUUCAAAUUAUAAACUUGUUAUUUGUUAACAUGUCAACUGUUGCCGCGCUGAUCCGCAGACAGCGGACUGUCUGCGGAGCCAGUCUCUGUAGGUACAACGUGACGGCGGGCGGUGGCUGGGCUUGGGGUAGGUGAUGGGCGGAACUGCAGCGCCGCACCUCCUCUGCUUUCAAAACCCUCUAGUUAAAGUGACACGGGUUUCUAAGAGUGUUAUUACGGUUCCAGUGACAGAUUAACAAGACUUCUACAUUGUGAAAAGAAGAAACUAUCUUGAGAACCCGGCUAAUGGUGUUUGUGGUGUUGGAAAAUAGUCGCGGUGAGAGAGCAAGGCAUUUUUUAACACGGCCAUACGGGCACUGGUGUUUCCACAUCCACGCAACGUCUUAUUGGAUUAAACGCCACAAAACAGACCCACAGAGGAACGACUAUUUAAUCAAGAGAGUGACUGGCGUCAUCGCCACCAUCACCAUCACCACCACUUCCGUCGCCGCCCUCCGCUACCUCCCACAACGUGCCGCCACCACUGUGUUCAGGCACUGCACUGCUCCACCAUGGAAUGUGACGCCACUGAGUAUGAAGUCGGUCCUCAGUACGUAAUAACACUAUCUCCACGUUCAAGACAGCUUCAAAGAAACAUUUCUAUGACUAACAAUGUAAAUAUUUAAAAUGAAUAUAAUGUAAUUACGUAUUUACAAUGCAUACAUGUUAUGUUGAGAAAAAUCUAUGAACGUCAGUAAGCCCUAGCUUGCCCUUACAUUGUGUAAUGAUACCAGUAAUACCAGUCUGUCUGCCGGCGAGUCUCGGCGCGGCACGCCGGAACGCCAAUGUUGUGUUGAUUUUUGUACCCGACUAUUGUAAAGGCGCUCUAGUGAAAGUAACUGGGGUUUUCAAACAUCUUCGCAUGAUUCUAGGGAUUAUUUAAGAAGUAUUGAGGAUGAAUGAUAACAAAACACUUGCAUGGAAGCUGACAAGUAAUCUCUGCGGCUUCUGAAAAGUCCUGGCCAGUCAACAGUUCUGGAUACGCCCCAGACAUUAUCUGAACUUUCAAUCAAGGUGUAAUAAAAACUAGCACUCUAUGGAUUUCUUUUAUUUUAUUUUUCUCUUAAGUGAUAUGGUGCAAUUGGUACUUAUAUGAAGGCUGUACCUGAAAAAUAUGAAGAGUACUUAUGCGGGGAAAUACUUCUUUUUAAUAACAGCAUUUUCUUCAACGUGGAAGUGACUUUUCCGGGGAUGACAAUGGUAAUCAAAACUUGCUGUGGAAAGAUCCGUGAAUGGUACACAGGUAAAUUUUAUGGUUACCUCGAACUUCUGCUUGAAUUAACUUGUUGCUUGUGGCCAGGCAGCGUGCUGUGAUUAUACAUUAUGUGGUGUGUGUGUGUGUGUGUGUGUGUAUGUUACUGGAAAUAAUAUAAAGCUGUGUGUGUGUGAGAGAGAGAGAGAGAGAGAGAGAGAGAGAGAGAGAGAGAGAGAGAGAGAGAGAGAGAGAGAGAGAGAGAGGGAGAGAGAGAGAGAGAGAAA